AUACCACCAAGUUAGUUUAAAAGAUCAGUAAGUUUUAGCGUUAUUUACAUUGAACAUCAUCUUUAUAGUCGAUACUUGUUUUAUACCAAGUCGUCACGUAUAUUAUUACACGGUGCAUUUUUGAAUGAUGAUGAGGCUAACAGCGUCAUGGCAGAUAAGAGACAGCGGGUGAGAAUCCAGGGCUCCUGGGCUGGGCCAGCCAGGAAGCCGGCACCCGGCCUGCCAGCAGCUACUGGAAGUGGUGGGAGAGCUAGCCUGCCCUGUGCGGUCGGCAGUGCCUGGGGGGGAGCGGAGAGGAAGUUCGAGUUUCAGCAGCCCACACAGGUGAAAAGGAACGUGCCAGAGGUGGUGAUCAUGGAGAAGGAAGGAGAGUUCGAGAUCAGCCAGGGCCCCUCAGGAGUGUCCAGGCUGCGUCUCAUUCCCUCUUUCCUCCCUGUCAGCGAGGCGGACUGGAUGCUUGCACAGCUCUUAGCAGAUCUUCCCUGGAAGCAGAAAUCAAACCUGCUGCACGGAGUGUCCUAUGAGGAGCCCAGGCUGACCUGCUGGUUUGGAGAGCUGCCCUACACCUACUCCCACUCCACCCUGCAGCCCAACACACAGUGGCACCCUGUGUUGGCAGAGCUGCGACAACGUGUGGAGCUGGCAUCGGGACACUCCUUCAACUCUCUGCUGUGUAACCUGUACCGGGACGGCAAGGACAGCAUCGCCUGGCACAGCGACUCUGAGCCCUCCCUGCGGCCACGGCCCACCAUCGGCUCCCUCAGCCUCGGGGACACCCGCAACUUCGAGAUGCGCAAGCAGCCUGCUGCGGAAGAAGACAGAGACUACACCUACGCAGAGAGGAUCCGAGUCCCUCUUUCUCAUGGGACACUGCUGCUCAUGGAGGGGGCAGUGCAGGAGGACUGGCAGCCAGCUGCUUGCCCUGAUGAGUGACAUGCUUUGACCUUGAAGAUACUGUUAAAGUGAAAUAUCCUAGAAAGUGAAACAGUUAUUGACUACCUGAAAGUAAGAAAUGCAAAUUGAGAGCUUUCUAUAAUCUAGUAUGUAAGAGCUGGAAAAAAUACAUUAGCUAUAUAUAGCAUGUGCUGCAUUUUACUGUAAAUGUGCAACAUUCAUUAAAUGCAUUCAAGCCAGCUCACUAGUUAGACAAUCUAAGCAUGGUGCGUGCUGUAUGGUUGUAUAAUUGUUUUUAUAAAUACAGUAACUGAUUACUGCAGCUGUUGAGGUUGAAUAGCAGCAGCUUUGUUGCUCUCCAAUUUAUAAGAUAAUACAAAGUAGGUCCGUAGAAACAAGAACAGUCCACCAGUGAGCCACACUGAACAAGACAUCAAGCUACACAGAAAAGCACCAGGUGCCCAAAGAAUACCACGACAGGGGCCCUCGGAUAAA